AAUCCCAUGGGAUUUUAAUUUGUCCCAUGGGAUAUUAAAAAUCCCAUGGGAUAAUUAUAGUCCCAUGGGAUU
rnacentral:sRNA from 1 species